UGAGGAAUAUUGCACAAUGGGCGCAAGCCUGAUGCAGCAACGCCGCGUGAGGGACGAAGGCCUUCGGGUCGUAAACCUCUUUUCUGGGGGACGAGUAAGGACGGUACCCCAGGAAUAAGUCUCGGCUAACUACGUGCCAGCAGCCGCGGUAAAACGUAGGAGGCGAGCGUUAUCCGGAUUUACUGGGCGUAAAGCGUACGCAGGUGGCUUCGUGAGUCGGACAUGAAAGCUCCUGGCUUAACUGGGAGAGGUUGUUCGAUACUGCGGGGCUUGAGGUUGGGAGAGGGACGUGGAAUUCCCGGUGUAGUGGUGGAAUGCGUAGAUAUCGGGAGGAACACCAGUGGCGCAAGCGGCGUCCUGGCCCACACCUGACGCUGAGGGACGAAAGCGUGGGUAGCAAACAG
rnacentral:rRNA from 1 species